UGGGUAACCUGCCUCAAAGAGGGGAAUAGCCUCCCCGAAAAGGGGAGAUUAAUACCGCAUAAUAUGUUUAGGUCGCAUGACUUUAACAUCAAAGGAUUUUCUUUUAAGAAAUUCCACUUUGAGAUGGACCCCGCGGCGCAUUAGCUAGUUGGUGAGGUAACGGCUCACCAAGGCAACGACGCGUAGCCGACCUGAGAGGGUNAUCGGCCACAUUGGAACUGAGACNCGGUCCAGACUCCGUACGGGNGC
rnacentral:rRNA from 1 species